rnacentral:lncRNA from 1 species
CAGGGAAUGGUCGGCAAUGAUGCCAUCAUCCUUUUCCUGGAUCACGUCUGCACUCGGAGUCCUUGGUCUUCUAAGCACGAGGUCACUCUUCCCUUUAGAACCCAGGACUUGGAUUCAUACGCAAGAAAACUUUCACAGAACCUACUUUUUGGGUCUGGGAGUAAGGCUGAAUUGGGUGUAUAUUUCAGCUUCACCACUAAAGCACAAGCUAUUGCCAAGACCUAGGCAAGACCAAGUGGCAACAAUGUUAGUGGUGGUGCUGCCUAAACGUCAGGAUUGUCAGGAGACCAAUGGCUGUGAAAUGCUUGGCAUGGACAUUGGCAUAUACCAUAGUAACUGACUGAUUCUGAGCAAGCCCCUCAUCUCUCUUGACCUCAGUUUUCUCUUCUGUGAAAGAACCAUAAUGCUAUUUUUUUCAGGGUUAUUGUACACUUUAAAUGUGAUGAUGUGUUUACUACCGUUCUUGACAAAUUUUUCUUCAAGUCUUAGCUCAAAAGUCACCUCUUCUCAGAAGCUUUCUGAAUUCUUUGAAAAGAUUAGGAGUUGAUUUAACAUGGUCCCAAGGCAAUUUGUCUUUGUUGCCAUUGUAUAGUUUCUCAUAUUCUAUUAUAGAUGUUGGCUCAACUCUGUGCCUUCAUCUUUGUGGCUUAGUGUCUUUUCAUGUAGCAUAGUUGUUAAAAACUAGGCUUUCAGAUAGGUUGGACAUUUUUGCUUAACAAUACCCUGUGAUGCUGAGCUAGUUACUUUUCUUCUCUGAAACUCAGUUUUCUCAACUAUAAAAUAGGAGCAGUAAUACCUAGCUCAUAAAUACUAACGUUGACCUAUCACCUAGGAUGGUGCCUGGCACUACAAUAAUUAUCUGUAGAAUGCAUGAACAAAUAGAAGCACUGUGCAUAUUAAUGAAAUGCAUAUGGAAAGCUCAGUGCCCUGUACUUGGUAGACUCUUUUUCUUUCUUUUUUUUUUGUAGGGGGAGGGGGCAGGGUCUCACUCUGUCGCCCAGGUUGGAGUGCAGUGGGGUGAUCUCAGCUCAUUGCAGCCUUGACCUCCCAGGUUCCAGUGAUCCUCCCACCUCAGCCUCCUGAGUAGCUGGGACCACAAGUACGUGCCACCAUGACUGGCUAACUUUUGUAUUUAUUGUGGAAGCAGUGUCUCACAAUGUUGUCCAGGCUGGUCUCAAGCUCCAGGGCUCAAGCAAUACUCUCGCCUCGGCCUCCAAAGGGCUGGGAUUACAGGCGUGAGCCACCAUGCCCGGCUUCUAGACUCUUAAUAAGUCACUGCAUAUCAUUAGAUAGGUAAUGUAUACAAUCAUCCCUCAGUAUACUUCGGGGAUUGGUUCCAGGACUCCCCUCAGAUAGUUCCCUCAAAAAUUGGAGAUGCUCAAGUCCCUUAUAUAAAAUGGAGUAGUAUUUGCAUAUAACCUAUCCACAUCCGCCCGUAUACUUUAAAUUAUCUCUAGAUUACUAAUUAUACCUAAUACAAUGUAAAUGCUAUAUAAAUAGUUGUUAUGGUGUAUUUUUAAUCUUUCUUUUUCUCUUUUCUUUCUUUCUUUUUCUUUUUAAGACAGCCUCCACCCCCCUAGGCUCAGGCGAUCCUCCCAUCUCACCCUACUGAGUAGCUGGGACUCCAGACACAUGCAACCACACCAGGCUAAUUUUUGUAUUUUUUGUAGAGACAAGAUUUUGCCAUGCUGCCCAGGCUGGUCUGGAACUCCUGGGCCCAAUUGUUCCAUCCACCUUGGCCUCCCAAAGUGCUGGGAUUAGAGGCAUGAGCUACUGCGCCUGGCUAUUUUUAAUCUUUUUUUACUGAAUAUAUUUGAUUCAAGAUUGGUUGAAUCUAUGGAUGAGAAAUUUCAGAAUAUGGAUGGCCUACUGUACUUGCUUAUUUUCUGGGGUACGAAUGGUAUAUGUCUUAUAUCAUUUCUUUUAGGGUUUUGCCUAAAAGAAACAAGCAAAUAAACAAAUGUUUGCUAAAUAAACAUUUGUUUCUCACCCAGAGAUAGGAAGAAAGUCUUUAGGAAUCUGAUAUGCUAAAUGCACUUAGAAUUACAGAACUUUUUGGAGAAAGAGAUCUUAAAGCUCUUCUGAACCCUUUUCUUAUGCUAAUUUUGUUUGUUUGUUUGUUUUCUUAUCAUUUCUUUGGUUUCUGCUCUUAUUUGAACAUUUCCUUCCUUCUACUUUGGAUUUACUUUGCUCUUUUUCUAGCUUGUAAUGUGGGAAGCUCACAUACUUAAUUUUAGACCUUUCUUUCUUUUCUUUUUUUUUUUUUAAGAUAAGCAUUCAAAGCUAUAAAUUUCCCUUUAAUCACUGCUUUAGCUGCAUCCACAAAGUUUGAUGUUAUAGUUUCAUUAUUAUUCAGCUAAAAAUAUUUUCUAAUUUUCCUUGUAACUUCUUCUUGGUCCUUUGGAUUAUUGAGAAUUGUACUAUUUGAUUUCUAAACAUUUAGAACUUUUCUAGACAUUUAAUUAUUGAUUUCCAAUCUACCUUCAUGGUGGCUAUGAGCAAACUCUGUGUAAUUUCAAUACUUCUAAAUAACUGAGACUUGUUUUAUGGUGUAUCAUAUGGUUUAUCUUAGUGAACAUAUCAUGGGCACUUGAAAAGAAUAUGUAUUCUGCAGUUGUUGGGUAUAUUGUUCUAUAAAUGUCAACUAGUUGUAAUUAGUUGACAGUGUUUAGAUCUUCCAUAUUUUUACUGACAUCUUGUCUAGUUGGUCUAUUAAUUGCAAAGAGGGGAUGUUUAAAUCUAUGACUUCUAUUGCUGAAUUGUCUGUCUUUCCCUUUAAUUUCACCAAGCUUUGUUUUGUAUAUUUUGAAACUGUAUUAUUAGUUAUAUACUCUCAAAUUUUAAAAAUUUUGUAGAUGAGAAAGAUUAAAUUUUGCAACAUGCUUUAAAAAAAUU